GACGAACGCUGGCGGCGUGCCUAAUACAUGCAAGUCGAACGAACCGCGACUAAGUGCUUGCACUAAGUCAAGGUGAGUGGCGAACGGGUGAGUAACACGUGGGUAACCUACCUCAUAGUGGGGGAUAACAGUCGGAAACGACUGCUAAUACCGCAUAGGACAUAGGAUCACAUGAUCCAGUGAGGAAAGGUGGCGCAAGCUAUCGCUAAGAGAUGGACCCGCGGUGCAUUAGCUAGUUGGUAGGGUAAAGGCCUACCAAGGCGAUGAUGCAUAGCCGACCUGAGAGGGUGAUCGGCCACAUUGGGACUGAGACACGGCCCAAACUCCUACGGGAGGCAGCAGUAGGGAAUCUGCCGCAAUGGACGCAAGUCUGACGGAGCAACGCCGCGUGAGUGAAGAAGGUCUGCGGAUCGUAAAGCUCUGUUGUUAGAGAAGAACAGCGCAUAGAGUAACUGCUAUGCGUGUGACGGGAUCUAACCAGAAAGCCACGGCUAACUACGU
rnacentral:rRNA from 1 species